AUACGGAGGGUGCAAGCGUUACUCGGAAUCACUGGGCGUAAAGCGCGCGCAGGCGGGCUGAUAAGUUGGAUGUGAAAGCCUACGGCUCAACCGUAGAACUGCAUCCAAAACUGUCAGUCUAGAGUGUGGGAGAGGAAGAUGGAAUUAGUUGUGUAGGGGUAAAAUCCGUAGAGAUAACUAGGAAUACCAAAAGCGAAGGCAAUCUCCUGGAACACUACUGACGCUGAGGCGCGAAGGCGUGGGGAGCAAACAGGAUUAGAAACCCCGGUAGUCC
rnacentral:rRNA from 1 species